AUCGCUUCUCGGCCUUUUGGCUAAGAUCAAGGGUAGUAUAUACUAUUUCUGUUAAAAAAAAAAAAAAGAAAAUCAAAAUCUUGUAUUUUGGUAUAAAAGUGCUGAGCAUUCUUUCAAUAAAGGCCUUAUUCAGUGAGAAUCUUUACUGCACUGCACCCUAG
ensembl:snRNA U2 U2 spliceosomal RNA